rnacentral:lncRNA from 1 species
GCCAGAAACAGUAAAUCAGUUUGGUAAAUAUGUCACUGUAGACAUCCAAGACAGAGAAAAAUGAGGCCUAAGUUAAGGGACUAAGAUGAAGGGAGAUAUUUCUAAGGCGAAUCAAUGAGAGGUGGCAAAUUGCACCUGAUGGAUUUGGCAGAGAUACUGCAGCUCCUGGCGUGACUAGAACUAGGAUUUGUAAAAAGUUCGUGAUUCUCUCAGCCCGUUUAAAGCACAAUGUAGGUGUUGAUCUAGUGAGGGAGUCAAUGAGAUAGAGCAUUGCAGAGCUUGCUAGAGAGGCACAGGAAGUCGCCUGAAGUGAAGGAGGGGGUGGCUGCUGCAGAAGCUAAAGCUUCCGCCAAACAAAAGAGGACAGCACUUCCGGUCACGCCAUCGUCGCUGCCUUCUCCGUCAAGCCCACUGUGCAUCUCCUCACCUGUUUUUUUCCCCACAUCCCAGAUAUGUCAUCACACAGCCCCCAGGCUCCGCUCUUGCCAGAGGGACAGGAGCCAUGGCUCAGAAAAUGGACUGUGGUGCGGGCCUCCUCGGCUUCCAGGUGAGAUCUCCGCUCCCCACCCCACCAUUUCCCCAGCCGACAGUCACCCCUCCCCGCGGGCCUCUUUGGUCUCGCAAACGCCGGGAUCUGGUUUGGCCCUCUUUAGUGAC